rnacentral:lncRNA from 10 species
AGGCCGUCGGGCGCGCGCUCCGGGAGGGAGGGCGCGCUCCGGGAGAGGGCGCGCGACCCCCGGGGUCGCCCCGCCCGCGGCGCAGAGCCUCUGGGGCGAGGGUAGGCGCCCUGCAGCGCAGAGAGGGGCUGCCCCUGGACAAGCCGGGAGUUCUUGUUCUUCCCAUGGCGAAACGGCCUCUUUUGCCGCGGUAGUUGUUUCCAGUCCCGGCAAAGCAGGUCCUGUCCGGCUGGAUACUGUGACUGUGCAGUCUACCAACAGCGAGAAUCAGUUCAAGCAGGGAGAAAGUUGUUCGGAGAAGGGGCGAGGAGUCCGGGGCUCCGCGCGGGGGACCCAGGAACCAGGUGUCCGCGCUUGGGCGGCAGCGAGGCUGCGUGGCGGUUGCGGCAAGAACCACUGCUCACUCGGCCCCGGAUCGGGCCGGCUUGGACUGGGCUGCCCUGCAUAGGGGGGAACCUUCCCGCACAACUAAGUUGCCAUUCGGUCUUUGGAGGAGGGGGCUUGGGAUGGGAAUUUCGCACCCCUUUGCCUCUUCCCGCUCCUACCCUCGCCGACGCAUUUACUUUAUUUAGAGCCCCUACCUUCUCAGUCGUUUAAAUGUUACUGUUUUUAUUAGUGACAUACCUGUGAGUCACCUUUUAAAAUAUGAAGUACCUAUGCAAAUUUGAAUUAUAUGGUAAAAACACAUCACCUUUACAAUGAAAACAGCUUCUUUUAAGGCAACGAAAUAACAAUUGACUAUAAUGCUAAAUGUAUCCGCUGAAAAAAGCCUACUUGCACAUGAGAAUUACACGUUUUUCUGCAACAUUUAUAUGUAGCGACUUGGAAACUUCUGGAAAUCUAGAAGAUUCUGACGAGGAGACAAAUUUCUGAUACUUAAAGACUCCAUGGUUCUGUGGGUGGAGAAAUAAAAACUCUAAGUUCUGAUAAGAUGUUUUAGAAUUCAACUAAAACAAUAAAAUAUUAAGAGUAAAAUAGGGAAGUAAGAAAGAGGAAGAGAAACAAAGAAAGGAAAUAAUUUACAGCAAUCUCAGAAAUUUAAUUCCAAAUUGCCAGAAGGUAAGUCUUAAGUAUAUAAAACUAAAUUUCAAAACAAACUGAAAAAAAGAGGGAGAAGAUGAAGAUGGCUGUCUCAGUUCACACUGCUCUGACUCAAUUUUGGAUUUAAUACUAAACUUCAUUUGGCAAACCAAUAGAAGUCAAUACAUUUUUUUAAUUUUCUUAAUUUUUUUGUUGUUGGUAAACACAGGGGCUUGCUAUGUUGCCCAGGCUGGUCUUGAACUCUUGGCCUCAAGCAAUCCCUGCCCGCCCCCCUCCCUUGGCCUCCCAAAGUGCUGGGAUUACAAGUGUGAGUCACCACACCUAGAUAAAUCAAUACAUUUUAAAGAUUUUUUUGUAGCUAAUGACUUUCGUGAUUGUUUUCUCUCCUUUGCCCCACACUUCCAAUCCAUUACUGAGUGCUUUUGCUUCUGGCUCUAUAAUAUCUCUCUAAUGUAUCAAAUUCCUCUUUAUACCCACUACCACUAUCUUGUUUCAGGCCACUAUCAUUUCAAAUCUUGCAUACUGCCUAAGUCACCUAACCAGUUUCCCAGGCCGCAGUUUUAUCCCCUUCUAAUCCAGUCUUUACAACGUCAUCAGUUUGUCUUUUAUGUACUCCACUAUUUAAAUUUCUGUAAUGGCACUCUCUGACUCUUGAUAUAAAGUCCAAACCACUUAAAAUGUCUUGUAAGAUCCUUCUUGAUUUAGCCACCAGUCACAAACUGGCUGUUUUUGUUUGCCUAACAUAAUGGGGAUUUCCUUUUUUCCUCUUUUUUUUUUUUUUUUUUUUUUUUGAGAAAGAGUCUCCCUCUGUCUCCCAGGGUGGAGUGCACUGGUGUGAUCUCGGCUCGCUGCAACCUCUGCUUCCUGGGUUCAAGCGAUUCUCCUGCCUCAGCGUCCCAAGUAACUGGGACUAUAGGUGUGCACUACCACGCCUGGCUGAUUUUUAUAUUUUUAGUAGAGAUUAGUUUUUGCCAUGUUGGCCCGGCUGGUCUCGAACUCCUGACCUAAAGUGAUCUGCCUGCCUCGGCCUCCCAAAGUGCUGGGAUUACAGACGUGAGCCACCACGCCCAGCCCUUUUCUUUUUGAGACAGAGUCUUGCUCUAUUGCCCAGGCUGGGGUGCAGUGGUGCAAUCAUAGUUCACUAUAACCUCAACCUCCUAGGCUCAAUGAAUAUUCCCACCUCAGCCUCCUGAGUAGCUAGGACUGUAGGCACAUGCCACCAUGCCAGGCAGUUUUUUUUUUUUUUUUUUUUAUAGAGACAGGGGUCUUCUAUAUUGCCCAGGCUGAUUAUGAACUCCUGGACCCAAGCGAUCCUCCUGCCUUGGCCUCCCAAAGCACUGGGAUUACAGGUGUGAGCCACUGUGCCUGACCAUGUUUUUUUCUUCUAAUUAAAUUUGAAUUUGUUUUCAUUGGUUAUGAGGUCCCCAAUUCAUUGCGGUCCAAAACUCACAAAGCUGUCUGUUUUAAACCAGACUUCCUCGCACAAUGUUACCUGCCUGUCUUUGGAAUGACUUGCAUCCAGUGUCCUAGCCCUGCUUACCUCUCCAAUCUCAUUUCUACCCACUGCCUUUCUCUAUUUCUUGUCCUUUAUAUUCAGGUCAUUCUGCAGUACUUUUGUGUCCCAGAACAGACGGCUAUGCUAUUUAUUACAUUGGAACAUUGCCAAGCUAAAUCCAAUUAAUCCUUCAGAACAAAGCCUAUUUGUUCCCUCCAAGACGUUUUCCCUAAACCCCCUUGAUGCAAAUCCUAGGUGCUUUUUGGUGCUCUUUCCCAUUUCUCACUUAACACCCAUUGCAGAUAUCUCUUCAAACACACAUUUCACUAUUGCUACUUAAGUUUACUUAUAAGUAUCCUCCAACUGGACUGUAAAACUCCUUGAGGUCAUAGUGAGGGACUUAAUCUUUGUGUCCCUAAUGCCAGGCAGAGUGGCUUUCACAUGGUAGUCAUUCAUUAAGCAGUGCCUACCAUUAGUAUUACUAUUGAAUAAAUGGGACAGAUGGAUGAACAACUGGCAAGAGAGUUGACACUUGUAAGAAACUGCAUGCACUGGCAGGGCACAGUGGCUUAUGCCUGUAAUCCCAGCACUUUGGGAUGCCAAGGUGGGCUGAUCGCUUGAGUCCAGAGUUUGAGCAUGGUGAAACCCCAUCGCUACAAAAAAUACAGAAAAUUGGCUGGGCUUGUAUUCCUAGCUACUCAGGAGGCUGAGGUGGGAGGAUUCUUUGAGCCUGGGUUGGGGGGUUGAGGCUGCAGGGAACCAUGAUCGCACCACUGCACUCCAGCCUGGGUGACAGAGAGAGACCCUGUCUCAAAAAAGAAAAAUUGCUUGUGCUGUAGUUAAGCAUGGUGGAUACAACUCAUCUUAUUUGUUGCAAAAACUCAACAAGUUAUUCCGUAUCUCUACAGUCAUGCAUCACAUAACCAUAGGGAUACAUUCCGAGAAAUUCAUCAUUGGAUGAGUUUGUCUUUGUGUGAACAUCGUAGAAUGUACUUACACAAACCUAGAUAGUAUAACUUACUCUCUGGGCUAUAUGGUAUAGCCUGUUGCUCCUGGACUACAAACAUGUACAGCUUAUUACUGUAGUGAAUACUGUAGAAAACUGUAACAAUGGGAAGUAUUUGUGUAUCUAAACAGAAAAAAUACAGUAAAA